rnacentral:rRNA from 1 species
AGAGUUUUGAUCAUGGCUCAGGACGAACGCUGGCGGCAUGCCUAACACAUGCAAGUCUAGGGGUAGCAAUACCACUGGCGCACGGGUGAGUAACACGUAGGUUAUCUGCCCCCAUCACAGACAUAACCCCGGGAAACCGGGGCUAAUAUCUGAUGAGGUCGCGAGAUCAAAGCUUCGGCGGAUGGGGAUGAGCCUGCGGCUGAUUAGCUAGUUGGUGAGGUAAUGGCUCACCAAGGCGACGAUCAGUAGCUGGUCUGAGAGGACGAACAGCCACACUGGAACUGAGACACGGUCCAGACUCCUACGGGAGGCAGCAGUGAGGAAUAUUGGUCAAUGGGAGCAAUCCUGAACCAGCAAUGCCGCGUGUGGGAUGACAGGGCUUCGCCUUGUAAACCACUGUCGGACGGGACGAAAGGAGGCCACGGGCCUCUGGGACGGUACCGUCAAAGGAAGGGUCGGCUAACUACGUGCCAGCAGCCGCGGUAAUACGUAGGACCCGAGCGUUGUCCGGAUUUACUGGGUAUAAAGGGUGCGUAGGCGGCCUUGUGCGUCAGAGGUGAAAUAUCCGGGCUUAACCCGGAGGGUGCCUUUGAUACGGCAGGGCUUGAGUGCGAGAGAGGAUGAUGGAAUUCCUGGUGUAGCGGUGAAAUGCGUAGAUAUCAGGAGGAGCACCGGUGGCGAAGGCGGUCAUCUGGCUCGUAACUGACGCUGAGGCACGAAAGCGCGGGGAUCAAACAGGAUUAGAUACCCUGGUAGUCCGCGCCCUAAACGAUGCUUACUAGCUUGUUUAGAAGUAAUUCUGGGCGGCCAAGCGAAGCGAUAGUCACGCCACCUGGAGUAGUACCGCCCGCAAGGAUGAUACUAAGGAUUGACGGGGCGUCCGCACAGCGGUAGGAUCCAUGUUGAUUCACUUCCGAUGCCACGCGUAGCACCCUACCGGGCUUGAAGUUGUUAAGC